rnacentral:rRNA from 1 species
GACGCUGGCGGCAUGCCUAAUACAUGCAAGUCGAACGAGAUCUUCGGAUCUAGUGGCGCACGGGUGCGUAACGCGUGGGAAUCUGCCCUUGGGUUCGGAAUAACAGUUGGAAACGACUGCUAAUACCGGAUGAUGACGAAAGUCCAAAGAUUUAUCGCCCAGGGAUGAGCCCGCGUAGGAUUAGCUAGUUGGUGAGGUAAAGGCUCACCAAGGCGACGAUCCUUAGCUGGUCUGAGAGGAUGAUCAGCCACACUGGGACUGAGACACGGCCCAGACUCCUACGGGAGGCAGCAGUAGGGAAUAUUGGACAAUGGGGGCAACCCUGAUCCAGCAAUGCCGCGUGAGUGAUGAAGGCCUUAGGGUUGUAAAGCUCUUUUACCCGGGAUGAUAAUGACAGUACCGGGAGAAUAAGCUCCGGCUAACUCCGUGCCAGCAGCCGCGGUAAUACGGAGGGAGCUAGCGUUGUCGGAAUACUGGGCGUAAGCGCACGUAGGCGGCAUUAAGUCAAAGGUAAAGCCCGGGGCUUACCCGGAA